CGCAAGGUUAAAACUCAAAUGAAUUGACGGGGGCCCGCACAAGCGGUGGAGCAUGUGGUUUAAUUCGAUGCAACGCGAAGAACCUUACCUGGUCUUGACAUCCACGGAAGUUUUCAGAGAUGAGAAUGUGCCUUCGGGAACCGUGAGACAGGUGCUGCAUGGCUGUCGUCAGCUCGUGUUGUGAAAUGUUGGGUUAAGUCCCGCAACGAGCGCAACCCUUAUCCUUUGUUGCCAGCGGUCCGGCCGGGAACUCAAAGGAGACUGCCAGUGAUAAACUGGAGGAAGGUGGGGAUGACGUCAAGUCAUCAUGGCCCUUACGACCAGGGCUACACACGUGCUACAAUGGCGCAUACAAAGAGAAGCGACCUCGCGAGAGCAAGCGGACCUCAUAAAGUGCGUCGUAGUCCGGAUUGGAGUCUGCAACUCGACUCCAUGAAGUCGGAAUCGCUAGUAAUCGUGGAUCAGAAUGCCACGGUGAAUACGUUCCCGGGCCUUGUACACACCGCCCGUCACACCAUGGGAGUGGGUUGCAAAAGAAGUAGGUAGCUUAACCUUCGGGAGGGCGCUUACCACUUUGUGAUUCAUGACUGGGGUGAAGUCGUAACAAGGUAACCGUAGGGGAACCUGCGGUUGGA
rnacentral:rRNA from 1 species